GACGAACGCUGGCGGCGUGCUUAACACAUGCAAGUCGAACGGAAAGGCCCUGCUUGCAGGGUGCUCGAGUGGCGAACGGGUGAGUAACACGUGGGUGAUCUGCCCCUUACUUUGGGAUAAGCCUGGGAAACUGGGUCUAAUACUGGAUAGGACCAUGCUGUAGGUGGUGUGGUGGAAAGAUUUUUUCGGUAAGGGAUGAGCUCGCGGCCUAUCAGCUUGUUGGUGGGGUAAUGGCCUACCAAGGCGUCGACGGGUAGCCGGCCUGAGAGGGUGGACGGCCACAUUGGGACUGAGAUACGGCCCAGACUCCUACGGGAGGCAGCAGUGGGGAAUCUUCCGCAAUGGGCGAAAGCCUGACGGAGCAACGCCGCGUGAGUGAAGAAGGUCUUCGGAUCGUAAAACUCUGUUAUUAGGGAAGAACAAAUGUGUAAGUAACUAUGCACGUCUUGACGGUACCUAAUCAGAAAGCCACGGCUAACUACGUG
rnacentral:rRNA from 1 species